rnacentral:rRNA from 1 species
AUGAUUCAGGAUAUGGCUGGAAGAACGGAUGACACAUUCUUUAUGGCCUGGCUUGCGGUUGCCUUCAGCACUUUUCUAGCACCAACCACGGCCUUGAAGCUCGGCCCAAAGUGCUACGAACUUGUGCUAGAUCAUCAAAUGCUCAAGAACACAAACAUCUGCCUCUUUAUAGCAGAACACAUUAAUGAAGCUUUCCGAAACAUCGACCAGGAGAAGCAAACUGUCUGCUGCUGCUUGUAUCACUUGAUGAUACUAUACCUUGAUGCGCUCGUCCAUGACAUCCCAGUAAGCAACUGCGCGAUACGAUCGAAUGCAUGGGAUAGUACUCUAAUUGCCAAGGUGAUCAAGAAGGAUACUAUCUCUCCUGGUGUGUUCGGCAAAUUACAACUUAAAGAGGAGUAUAGAGGCACGGAGCAGACACCACUGUUUGGUGGAAUUUUGCAAGCUGAAGCAUUCGUGGCAUCCAAGUUACCAAUAACCUACAAUCCGCAGAAAAAGGCAAAGAUUGUGAAAGUGGUCAAUGACCUGUGCAAGGCUGUAACUGAACAGGUUGGCACCUUCAUUGAAGCAGUUGCCAAGAUCGAUGACAAGGAACCGGAUAUUGAUCCUUACGUACAGCAGCCAUCAAUGCAAACCGGGGCGUCACGCCGUGCUCCAAAAAGAAAGAGACGGGGGAGAGGAGGAGGACAAGGAAGAAGAUAG